rnacentral:misc_RNA from 1 species
GAUGAAGAACGCAGCGAAACGCGAUAAGUAAUGUGAAUUGCAGAAUCCAGUGAGUCAUCGAAUCUUUGAACGCACAUUGCGCCCGCCAGCAUUCUGGCGGGCAUGCCUGUUCGAGCGUCAUUUCAACCCUCGACCUCCCCUUGGGGAGGUCGGCGUUGGGGACCGGCAGCACACCGCCGGCCCUGAAAUGGAGUGGCGGCCCGUCCGCGGCGACCUCUGCGCAGUAAUACAGCUCGCACCGGGACCCCGACGCGGCCACGCCGUAAAACACCCAACUUCUGAACGUUGACCUCGAAUCAGGUAGGACUACCCGCUGAACUUAAGCAUAUCAAUAAGCGGAGGA